AACGAACGCUGGCGGCGCGCCUAACACAUGCAAGUCGAACGAGAAGGCGUAGCAAUACGCUUGUAGAGUGGCGAACGGGUGAGUAAUACGUGGGUGACCUACCCUCGAGUGGGGAAUAACCCGCCGAAAGGCGGGCUAAUGCCGCGUACGCUUCCGUCCUCACGGGGACGGAAGGAAAGCUGGUACCGUGGGUACGGCGCUCAAGGAUGGGCUCACGUCCUAUCAGCUUGUUGGUAGGGUAACGCCACCAAGGCUACGACGGGUAGCUGGUCUGAGAGGACGAUCAGCCACACUGGCACUGCGACACGGGCCAGACUCCUACGGGAGGCAGCAGUGAGGAAUAUUGCGCAAAUGGGCGAAAGCCUGACGCAGCGACGCCGCGUGGGGGA
rnacentral:rRNA from 1 species